rnacentral:tRNA from 1 species
CCGGGGUGGCCGAGCGGCCCAAGGCGCGGGACUGGAGACAUCCCGUCCCCGUCAAGGGGGCCCGGGUUCAAAUCCCGGCCCCGGCGC